rnacentral:rRNA from 1 species
CGGUGGACUCAAGACUGCAAUCCGCGUGUCGCCCUUAGAGUUUGAUCCUGGCUCAGGAUGAACGCUGGCGGCGUGCAUAAUACAUGCAAGUCGAACGAGGGACCUUUUGUAGCAAUACGAGAGGUUUCCUAGUGGCGAAUGGGUGAGUAACACGUGGGCGACCUGCCCCGAAGUGGGGGAUAACAGCUCGAAAGGGCUGCUAAUACCGCGUGUGGUUGCCGGGGUUAGAGGCCUGGCAACUAAAGCAGCAAUGCGCUUCGGGAGGGGCCUGCGGCCCAUCAGGUAGUUGGCAGGGUAACGGCCUACCAAGCCGAUGACGGGUAGGGGACCUGAGAGGGUGGUCCCCCACACUGGCACUGAAACACGGGCCAGACACCUACGGGUGGCAGCAGUAGGGAAUAUUGCACAAUGGGCGAAAGCCUGAUGCAGCAACGCCGCGUGCGCGAUGAGGGCCUUCGGGUCGUAAAGCGCUUUUCGGGGGGAUGAGGUAGGACAGUACCCCCGGAAUAAGUGACGGCUAACUACGUGCCAGCAGCCGCGGUAAAACGUAGGUCACGAGCGUUAUCCGGAUUUACAGGGCGUAAAGCGCGUGCAGGCGGUCAGGUAAGUCGGGCGUGAAAUCUCUCGGCUCAACCGGGAGGGGUCGUCCGAAACUACCAGACUAGAGGGCAGUAGAGGGAGGUGGAAUUCCCGGUGUAGUGGUGAAAUGCGUAGAGAUCGGGAGGAACACCUGUGGCGAAGGCGGCCUCCUGGGCUGCCCCUGACGCUCAGACGCGAAAGCUAGGGGAGCGAACGGGAUUAGAAACCCCGGUAGUCCUAGCUGUAAACGAUGCAGACUGGGUGUUGGAAGCUUUAAACCUGCCAGUGCCGUAGCUAACGCGAUAAGUCUGCCGCCUGGGGACUACGGCCGCAAGGUUAAAACUCAAAGGAAUUGACGGGGACCCGCACAAGCAGCGGAGCGUGUGGUUUAAUUCGAUGCUACGCGAAGAACCUUACCCAGGUUUGACAUGCAGGUGGUGGGGAAGCGAAAGCGGACCGACCCUUCGGGGAGCCUGCACAGGUGAUGCAUGGCUGUCGUCAGCUCGUGCCGUGAGGUGUUAGGUUAAGUCCUCUAACGAGCGCAACCCUUACCGCAUGUUACAUGUGUCAUGCGGAACUGCCGGUCUCAAGCCGGAGGAAGGCGAGGAUGACGUCAAGUCAGCAUGUCCUUUAUGCCUGGGGCUACACACACGCUACAAUGGCCGGUACAAUAGGAUGCUAAGCCGCGAGGCGGAGCCAAUCCAAUAAAGCCGGUCUCAGUUCGGAUCGCAGGCUGCAACUCGCCUACGUGAAGUCGGAGUUGCUAGUAACUGCAGGACAGCUAUACUGCAGUGAAUACGUUCCCGGGUCUUGUACACACCGCCCGUCACGCUAUGGGAGCUGGCAACGCCUGAAGCCGGUGACCUAACCGAAAGGGAGGAGCCGUCGAAGGCGGGGCUGGUGACUGGAGCGAAGUCGUAACAAGGUAACCAAGGGCGACACGCGAUUGCAGUGUAACACGAGUGAUCCUGAGUU